UACAGAGGUCCCAAGCGUUGUUCGGAUUCACUGGGCGUAAAGGGUGCGUAGGUGGUGAGGUAAGUCGGAUGUGAAAGCUCGGAGCUCGACUCCGAAAUGGCAUUGGAAACUACCUUGCUCGAGGGUUGGAGGGGGGACUGGAAUUCUCGGUGUAGCAGUGAAAUGCGUAGAUAUCGAGAGGAACACCAGUGGCGAAGGCGAGUCCCUGGACAACUCCUGACACUGAGGCACGAAAGCUAGGGGAGCAAACAGG
rnacentral:rRNA from 1 species